rnacentral:rRNA from 1 species
CCUACGGGAGGCAGCAGUGAGGAAUAUUGGUCAAUGGGAGAGAUCCUGAACCAGCCAAGCCGCGUGAGGGAAGACGGCCCUAGGGGUGGUAAACCUCUUUUGUCGGAAAGCAAAACCAGGGACGUGGCCUGGACUGCGCGUACCCGAAGAAAAAGCGUCGGCUAACUCCGUGCCAGCAGCCGCGGUAAUACGGAGGAUGCGAGCGUUAUCCGGAUUUAUGGGGGUUAAAGGGGGCGGAGGGGGGCGGGUAAGUCAGCGGUAAAAUUGCGGGGCUCAACCCCGUACUGCCGUUGAACCUGGCAGCCUGGAGUGCGCGAGAAGUACGCGGAAUGCGCGGUGUAGCGGUGAAAUGCAUAGAUA